AUGCAACAGCACUGGUGUUUUUUGGUGUUCAGAAAGCUGCACAGUCAAGUCCUGCUGUUCGUCUGACUGCUAAUCCUCCAUGGCCAGAUGUGUUCCCAGGGGAGACAAUUACUCUCACCUGUCAGGUUAUUGAAUCUGAGGGAUGGACAUUUGUGUGGACCAGCCGCAGACAGGGGGGUCUAUCACAACUUUUAGCCUCCAGUAGUAACGGCUCUGUGUCUAUGUUGGUCCUGAGUGAUGUGAGAGAGAGACAGAGCGGAAUGUAUCAGUGUGAAGCUGUAAAAGGAAAUGAGCAAGCUUUCAGUAACAUCCAUACAAUAACAGUCUCUGCUGAUCGUCCUCAGGCUGUCAUAGUCACAGAUCCCCCAGCCAAAGUGAUGUUCACAGGAGAAACUGUUAGCUUAGCUUGUGACAUCAGGAAAGGGUCUGGCUGGAGAUAUUCAUGGAGCAGAAACACCCAGGGAAGAUUAGAGAGCCUGUAUGCCCGCAGUACUGAAAGCCAACAAAAGCACAUCCUGCACUCUGUAAGAGAGUCAGACAGUGGAAAGUACCUGUGUCAGGGUGAACGAGGACAAAACCC